CAGGAUCAGGACGCCAGCACCAGAAACGCCGGACUCUGCAUUGAAUAUUGAAUGCAAGUGCCAUUCUUGAAACCGAGGCCCGAAACGCGUCUGAAAACGAUGCUGCUGAAAGAUAAACUGAUCGCAGAUAAGCCGCAGCAACUCGCCUGCAGCUAUUUUUCUUUUCUCACCUUCUACAGACACACACAACCGAAACCAGAAGAAGAGAGACGACACCAGCAACAACGCUCUAGUUAUUCUGAUUGACAUAAAUCGAGCGCACACCCACUCACAUGCCCAUACACAUACAUUUCUCGCUGCCUCGGACCAGAAGGCAGCGAAAAUGUUAAAACGGAAGACAGAAACUUGAAAACAUAGCUAUAGCAAAAAAUAGAAUUAACACAUAUAUGUAAAUAUUUUUCACCUUUUUCGCUGCACUGACAGCCAUCACUUUUUCUUCUA
rnacentral:lncRNA from 1 species